AUUUAAACUUUAUUAUUUUAGAGGUGAAUAAUUGCGCAGGGACUAACCAGACUUCCCACAGGGAGACAAUCCUCAUUCUUAAGAAUCAUCUGGUCCUAAAUUCCUUUUGCUAUCUAUAGGUGUUGAAGGCAGUUGGUAUAACUCAGGAUGAGGCACAGGAAGCGAAGCAGAGCACUGACCCAAAGUGGUUCCUGUCAAGUUACAUAACUUUCUGGCUAGCUUCUCUUUAAACUGUAUGUAUGGAUAUAUC